rnacentral:rRNA from 1 species
GCCCUUUAGACUGGGAUAACAGAGGGAAACUUCUGAUAAUACUGGAUAAGUUAGUAUAUCGCAUGAUAUGCAAAUGAAAGCUACGGCACUAAAGGAGAGCUUUGCGUCCUAUUAGCUAGUUGGUAAGGUAAGAGCUUACCAAGGCGAUGAUAGGUAGCCGGCCUGAGAGGGUGGACGGCCACAAGGGGACUGAGAUACGGCCCUUACUCCUACGGGAGGCAGCAGAU